GACGAACGCUGGCGGCGUGCCUAAUACAUGCAAGUCGAACGCUGAAGGAGGAGCUUGCUCUUCUGGAUGAGUUGCGAACGGGUGAGUAACGCGUAGGUAACCUGCCUGGUAGCGGGGGACAACUAUUGGAAACGAUAGCUAAUACCGCAUAACAGUAGAUGUUGUAUGACAUUUGCUUAAAAGGUGCAAUUGCACCACUACCAGACGGACUUGCGCUGUAUUAGCUAGUUGGUGGGGUAACGGCUCACCAAGGCGACGCUACAUAGCCUACCUGAGAGGGUGAUCGGCCACACUGGGACUGAGGCACGGCCCAAACUCCUACGGGAGGCAGCAGUAGGGAAUCUUCGGCGAUGGACGGAAGUCUGACCGAGCAACGCCGCGUGAGUGAAGAAGGUUUUCGGAUCGUGAAGCUCUGUUGUAAGGGAAGAACGAGUGUGAAAGUAGAAAGUUCACGCUGUGACGGUAGCUUACCAGAAAGGGACGGCUAACUACGUG
rnacentral:rRNA from 1 species